CAAAAUUGACUGUGAUAACUUGGAGCAGUACUUUAUACAACAAGGAGGAGGACCUGAUAAAAAAGGACACCAGUUCUCAUGUGUUUGUCUUCAUGGUGACAGAAAGCCUCAUGAGAGAAAGCAAAACUUGGAAAGAUUUAAGGUACUGAUACAUAGUUGAUUGUUUCCUUAAUACUUAAGAGGGGCAUUAUAUCUAGUUUUAAGCAGUUUUAAUUAAUAUUAUUAAAGCAGUUAUUGUCCUAGAAAUUUCAAAAUGUUUCUACCCUAACUAAUGUGUCAUCAUCAUGACAGGAAUUAGUCAUUGUUGACACUCAAAUUAUACAUUCUCUAUCAGCACAACACUACUAUAACAAGAAUUUUCAAUUUCAGAAAUUUUAGUUAAAUUACUUCAGGUAGAUAUUUUUAGGAGAAGUAUCAUUGGAUAGUUAAGCCAUGUCUAUGUGCCUUAAAAAUAGUCUCCAGCAAUAGCCAUAAGGAACUUAAUUUGUAGAUUAAUUAAGACAGGUAUCAGAAUAUGGCUAUGUAGAAUUAAAGGUAUUUUGAUACU
rnacentral:sRNA from 1 species